rnacentral:rRNA from 1 species
GACAUCCAGAGAACUUUCCAGAGAUGGAUGGGUGCCUUCGGGAACUCUGAGACAGGUGCUGCAUGGCUGUCGUCAGCUCGUGUUGUGAAAUGUUGGGUUAAGUCCGCAACGAGCGCAACCCCUAUCCUUUGUUGCCAGCGAUUCGGUCGGGAACUCAAAGGAGACUGCCGGUGAUAAACCGGAGGAAGGUGGGGAUGACGUCAAGUCAUCAUGGCCCUUACGAGUAGGGCUACACACGUGCUACAAUGGCGUAUACAAAGAGAAGCGACCUCGCGAGAGCAAGCGGACCUCAUAAAGUACGUCGUAGUCCGGAUUGGAGUCUGCAACUCGACUCCAUGAAGUCGGAAUCGCUAGUAAUCGUAGAUCAGAAUGCUACGGUGAAUACGUUCCCGGGCCUUGUACACACCGCCCGUCACACCAUGGGAGUGGGUUGCAAAAGAAGUAGAUAGCUUAACCUUCGGGAGGGCGUUUACCACUUUGUGAUUCAUGACUGGGGUGAAGUCGUAACAAGGUAAGCGUAGCGAG